AUGAGUUUCUAUGCGACACUGGCAUUCAGUGUGUAUCGAACAAUGCGAGAUGUGAUGGUCUGCCCAACUGCGAUGACUAUUCUGAUGAGAUAGGGUGCAGUGAUGUGUGCCAACCCACGGAGUUUGCGUGUAAGCAAGGAUCUUUAUCAAGCGAGGAAGAUUAUAAGUCAUUGCAGUGUUUCUCUCCAGUCAUCUUCUGUGACAACAUCAUUCAAUGCUACGAUUUUGAGGACGAAAUAGGCUGUGUCCCGUCAUGUGGGAGUCACGUCAUUCAGCUACAACAAGAUCAAACCCAU